AACGCACGAGACCUGCGGACCUGCGGAGGGAUCAUUAAUGAUACAACAAGUCGGUCUCCUGUGCUGGCGCAACCACGCAUGUGCACGUUGACUGGCAAACAUCCGCACACCUUGUGCACCUUUGGACCAUGGACAAGUUCGUCCAGGCUUAGGCUUGGAUUUGAGCAACCUCUGUUGGUACUUUUUCACAAACUAGCAUGUCUUAUGGGAUGUUGAGGCGCUUUUAAGCGUCGUAUAUGA
rnacentral:misc_RNA from 1 species